rnacentral:rRNA from 1 species
GUCUACAGCUGUGCCACCCUGAACAAGCCCGAUGUCUGAUCUCGGAAGCUAAGCAGGGUCGGGCCUGGUUAGUACUUGGAUGGGAGACCACGUGGGAAGACCAGGUGCUGUAGGCA